GAAAAAGAAAAGAAUGCUGCCUGUUCUAAAAAAAAAAAGAGAACGCUGCCGCCGCGGCCAGCCCCGCGCCGCGCCGUGCCAACGGUCAGAUUCCCCACGAAUCAAAAUCCCCGGAAGUUCAAACCGAAGCAGUCCAUCUGAAAUUCUGAAUCGAAUCCUCCAGCCAACUCGGACUUCUCCCACAUCUGACAUCUCCGCCUCCAUGGGCUGCUUCUUCGCCUGCUUCGGCGGCGGCGACGAGGACCGCCGGCGUCGGAAGUCGCGGAGGCGGUCUCCGUCAAGCCACCCGCCGCGGCCGGACCAUCAUGUUGCUCGGGUCGGCAAGGCAUCGUUGGAGGAGGAUGAAGUGGUGAAGGAGGCGUCGCCGCCAUUGCCAGACGUGAGGGCUUCGGCGCCGCCGCCGCCGCUCGUCGUGGAGGCCUCGGAUGAAUUGGUCACUGGACCGAACCCAGGAACGGAGCAGAGGGAGUUGCGUGAGCAGAAAACUCUGACACCACCAUCACUUACAGUUCACGUUGCAGAGGAGGUGGUCAGUGGCGCAAGCCCAGGAGGACUGAGUCAGUUGAAUGAUCACAAGGAAUUGCCUGCACGCUCUUUACCACAGGAGGCGAUAGUCACACCACCACUCUUCACAAUGAAAUGUUCACCUGUGGCCACAACAGUUGUUUCAACUCCUGAUAUGGAGCUCAGGGAGGUGAGUGAAGAGGAGAACCGCAGCAGUGGCAAGAAGAAAGUAUCAUUCAACAUGAAUGUUACAUCAUACGAAAAUACCUCACUACCUGACCAAGAAGAGGAACGCUCAGAAUCCAUCAAGUGGAUGAAAGAUGAAGAUGAAAAACACAUGCAGAAGACUGUUCUGCUCCCAGAGAAUCAUCGUUAUGGGAAUUGCACAGAUAGUGAUGAUGACAUUGGAGAUGAGUACUGUGAGGAUGACAACUGUGGUGAUUAUAGUGAUACAGAGGAGGAUUUCGUGGAGUGCAAGGUUGAUUUGGUGGAUGAGGAGGAAAUGAGCACUGAUGAGAACAAGGAGGAGUCCCAUGAGUCUCUAUUCUCACUGCCAAUGUCUAAAGACCGGCAAAAUGACCAAGAAGUCACCAGCCCUAUACCCAAGAGCAGUGAGGGCCCUGCACAGGAAGAAAGCCCGUUAAUCCAGGGGAACAGCCACCGUGAUAGAAGUAAGUAUGUUCAUCCUGUCUUGAACCCAGUUCAGAAUCUGUCACAGUGGAAGGAAGUUAAGGCCCAAGUAGGACCAGUUAAUAAGUUGUACAAGGAGAAUGUAAACUCCGGGCCAGAUGCAGGUGCAAGCCCUAGUUCUAAGGUUGCAAACCAGACAAAGAUGAGCCCUAGCAACGCUAGCAAGGGGGAUGUUUCUGUAGAUGCAAGCCUAUCUACCUGGUUAGUUUCUUCAGGUAACUCAACAGUUGACAAGGCGCAAAGUAAAUCCCCACGUUCUGUUUCCUCGAUAUGCCGAGAAGAAAGGCCUGUCCUAGGUGCCUUGACUGUUGAUGGCCUUAAGAAAUCAUCAACAACAUCAUCUCCACGAAGGUCUCCAAGCCAUAACCGUCAAGAGGUGCCAAUCUUGGGUACAGUGGGAAGCUACUGGAGUUGCACAGAACCAGACAAUGAGUGUUGUUCUUCUAGGUCUGACUCAGGAACUAAUGGAAUCCCCAAUACAACAAGCAAAUAUAGAGAGGACAGAAGGGUGAACUGGCACUCGACUCCCUUCAAUGUCAGGCUGGAUAAAGCUCUGAAGAAAUCUUCUGCAUGAGUUGGUGCUGCUAAAGAUUAAGAAAACACGGUGAUUGCUGCUCACCAGACUGUAAGGUGCUGAUACUACAACCUAAGUGGUAGCAUCCGCCACACACUUCAGAGUUCACCUUAGGCCUACUGAUCACGCUUUGAACAGUUGGGUGUGAUGGUUGUGCCCUUCAGCUUUCAGAAAUGGAGUUUGUGGGCCAGCUAUGUUCCAAUGGGUAUGAAUAUGUCUGCCACGGGCGAGAUCGUGCGGCACUUCGCGGAGAUGGAAGCCUCGUCGCCGUAGCUACUCCGCUGGCUGCUGCAGUUCUGGGGGUUCAAGGAGUCAGGAGUGGCUCCUCGUCGACGAUCUUGUCUUCGCCAAGCUCGCUGGAAUGCAGCGUCGGCAUCAUUGCCAAGUGUGAUUGGAGUUUCAUGUUCGGUGCUGAAAAUCUUGACACGUUUUCUGCUGAAGAGAAGGGAGAAUUUGUAAAAGAGAUUGACAUCAUCAUUGCUCAUGUGAGAAAUGGUUCCCCCAGGUUGCCGGCCAUCCCAAGGUCUCCGCCAUCAACCAUCGACUCUGCUGGUUCAGCUCCCAUCAUCAGCCACCUGGUGCUCCACCCCAACGCCCUGCUACUCCGGCAUGUGGAACCUGCACCGCCACGACUCCCCAUUUGACUGUCCUGAGGACGCUGCAUCACCCCGACUCCCCUCCAUGUCCAGUUCUCGCCAGGUACAAGCUUAGAUGUCUUAGUGGUUGAGAUGUUAUGUCUCGGCUUUUUGUGAGGCUGUGCUUGACACAGUUGAGAACUACGAAAAGCAGAAUAUCUACAGGUGUGCCAGGUGGUUAGAAACAAGGGACAAUACACAAAGGCACAAGUUAAUGCAUCUGCAGUCGUAAUUGUGGCUGUAAAGUAGACCAAGAGUUGAUCCUCAAACUUCAAUUACCAUCAAUCCUUAACAAGGACUAAGGAUGCCAGGAUGGUGUCAACUUCCCGUGGACAUGAUCAGACUUUGAUUUCGUCGUCUGCGAAUUUUGGAGAUUUUUUGCUGCACAUGAUACGGUUGAAGUUCUCUGAUUUACACAGCAGAAUUUCAAUCUGCAACCAAGAAUAUUCUUGAGCUAAAAGUUGGUUGUCAUGUAUUUCAGAUGCAGAAACUGAAGGAAAGGAACAUCGCAAUUCUAUUUUGUGUGCUAUUUGGGCAAUGUGGACUGCAAGAAAUAAAAGAAGCCAUGGUGAAUAGAGAUGAAGUUGCAGAAUAAUUUUGUUAAAUGGCAGUCACCUGCUGCGGGGAUGGUGAAAGAAAAUGUGAAUGCUGCUUUGUCUCAGAUGCCCAACAUGGAGCUACAGGUCUGGUUAUUCGGGAUGAUCAAGCUCGGCUCAUUUCGGCAAGCUGCAAGUGGUACAAUGAUCUUCCAGAUGUGCUUACUGCUUAAGCUUAUGCAUGUCGAGAUGUAGUAGCCAUGGUCGGUAGUCUUAACUUUCCUAAGAUGGUAAUCGAAACGGACAGCCAAGAGCUGGUGUCUCUCUGGAAUACUAGAGCCAAUAAUAAAUCAUAUUCUUCCUGUUCUAAACCAAAUUCAGGAACUAAGUAGGUGUUGUGUUCAUUUUGAUAUUUGUCAUGUAUUCCCUUCAUUUCAUAAUUCUUGUCUCAAAUUUACCCAAAAAUAGAUGUAUUCAUUUCUAAAAAGCGUCUAGAUACAUGUACUAUUUCGACAAGAAUUAUGAAACGAAGGAGGUAGAAAGGAAAGCAAAUGCGGCUGCUCACCUGACAGCAAAGUUUGCUUCUCCUUCAAAUUCAGGUUGUGUGUGGAUGUAUCAAGUUCCUGAUUAUUUGCUAUCCUUAUGCUGAUUGUUAA